rnacentral:rRNA from 1 species
GAUGAACGCUGGCGGCGUGCCUAAUACAUGCAAGCCGAGCGAAUGGAUUAAGAGCUUGCUCUUAUGAAGUUAGCGGCGGACGGGUGAGUAACACGUGGGUAACCUGCCCAUAAGACUGGGAUAACUCCGGGAAACCGGGGCUAAUACCGGAUAACAUUUUGAACCGCAUGGUUCGAAAUUGAAAGGCGGCUUCGGCUGUCACUUAUGGAUGGACCCGCGUCGCAUUAGCUAGUUGGUGAGGUAACGGCUCACCAAGGCAACGAUGCGUAGCCGACCUGAGAGGGUGAUCGGCCACACUGGGACUGAGACACGGCCCAGACUCCUACGGGAGGCAGCAGUAGGGAAUCUUCCGCAAUGGACGAAAGUCUGACGGAGCAACGCCGCGUGAGUGAUGAAGGCUUUCGGGUCGUAAAACUCUGUUGUUAGGGAAGAACAAGUGCUAGUUGAAUAAGCUGGCACCUUGACGGUACCUAACUAGAAAGCCACGGCUAACUACGUGCCAGCAGCCGCAGUAA